AUUGAACGCUGGCGGCAGGCUUAACACAUGCAAGUCGAGCGGAGAUGAGGUGCUUGCACCUUAUCUUAGCGGCGGACGGGUGAGUAAUGCUUAGGAAUCUGCCUAUUAGUGGGGGACAACAUUCCGAAAGGAAUGCUAAUACCGCAUACGCCCUACGGGGGAAAGCAGGGGAUCUUCGGACCUUGCGCUAAUAGAUGAGCCUAAGUCGUAUUAGCUAGUUGGUGGGGUAAAGGCCUACGAAGGCGACGAUCUGUAGCGGGUCUGAGAGGAUGAUCCACCCCACUGGGAUUGAGGCACGGCCCAGAGGCCUACGGGAGGCAGCAGUGGGGAAUGUUGGACAAUGGGCGGGUGCUUGAUCCAGUCAUGCCGCGUGUGUGAAGAAGGACUUUUGGUUGUAAAGCACUUUAAGCGAGGAGGAGGCUACCUGGAUUAAUACUCUAGGAUAGUGGACGUUACUCGCAGAAUAAGCACCGGCUAACUCUGUGCCAGCAGCCGCAGUAAUAC
rnacentral:rRNA from 1 species